GGUUAGGCUUAAGCUUAGACUUAGACUUAGACUUAGGCUUAGGCUUAGGCUUAGGCUUAGGUUUAGGCUUAAGCAUAUACCUAGGCUUAGCCUUAGGCUUAGUCUUAGGCUUAGGCAUAUGUUUAGGCUUAUGCUUUGGCUUAGGCUUAG
ensembl:ncRNA F54A5.4 ncRNA